rnacentral:sRNA from 1 species
CUUGUUCUUGGCAAAGGUUGAAAUACAACCCUUAACAAUUUAUGUGUGGUAGCAGUUGGAAGUGAAACAGAAGGACUGAGUGGCAGUUGUUUGGUUUCAUGCUCAAAGCCUAACCUCCUCGAGACCAUCAGUAGGCAGUGGGCUCCACUGACAUUCCUGUUUUCUCCACCUCCUCACUGAUAUGGACGCUUACCACCAUGCUUUGGUGUUUAUGAGGGCGUGAAGAUCUGAACUCGAGUGCUGCACAGGAAAAUGGCAGGACUUCAUCUGGACCAUUUACUCCUCUAUUCAUCAUUCUGUGCUAUGUUCUCAGAGCAUCUGCUUCAGCAUCCUUCACUAGUCACAGCCGACCUGGUGUCGAUUUGCAUCUGUAAGGACUGUUUCUGGCACAGACAAAGAACAGAAGGACACAGAAAGUAGAGCCUCUAGCCACUGCUGUUUGCCUGUGAGCCUUCCUCCUGGGCAUGUCCUUGGCAUCAUUCCCACAGAUCCUGACAUCAAUAAAGGUGUUGGAUCAGAAAUGGGAAUCUCCUCUGAUCUUAUCAGAAAAAUCUGCUUCCUAUUUUACUAGAUCCACAUAGCAUCCAUAUAACCCGCCUUUCUGGAAUAAACACAGCUGCAAACAACUUCCAGGUGAAACUAAAUAGCCCCAUGACAGUGUUCUAAUGUUCUAUCUGCUGUUUAAGGCAGCCAAUGGUUUUAGCAUACAUUAGGCAUGCUUUCGAGGGAAAUUCCAGAAAAGGGCACAUUCUCAUAUAGAGAUGACAAUGGAGCCAUUCCCAGAAACCCUGCCGAGCUUUAGAAAAUGGAGCUAGCUCAAUUGAGGUGCUGUCAAAAUGACUGAAAACCACCUGCCACCAAUUUCUAUUUCCCUGUAUGAAAAUCAGCCUUCUAGAGGAUUCCUACUGUUGGCAAGAAAGGAAACCUGUCUGUACUUGCUGAUUAUGGUCAACGGAUCGGGCAGAGCUCUGGGGUGAAUAUGGUGAAAAGACUCAGAGUGCAGGGAGAGAGAUAGAACCAAUGUGUGACAAAGAGCAUAGUCAAGUCUCUCUAUAGCAAAUCUGGGUAGAGCACUUAAGGCUUGCAGUGCCCUUUUAAAAAACUGUCUUUCAUUCAACAGAAUAAUACUCUGAC